AUACGUAGGGGGCGAGCGUUGUCCGGAAUUACUGGGCGUAAAGGGUGCGUAGGCGGCCCUUUAAGUCGGAUGUGAAAGCCCGCGGCUUAACCGCGGAAUGGCAUUCGAAACUGGAGGGCUUGAGUGUCGGAGAGGGUAGUGGAAUUCCCAGUGUAGCGGUGAAAUGCGUAGAUAUUGGGAGGAACACCAGUGGCGAAGGCGACUACCUGGACGAUAACUGACGCUGAGGCACGAAAGCUAGGGGAGCAAACAGGAUUAGAUACCCUGGUAGUCCUAGCCGUAAACGAUGGGUACUAGGUGUGGGUGGUUUCGAUACCAUCCGUGCCGUAGUUAACACAAUAAGUACCCCGCCUGGGGAGUACGGCCGCAAGGUUGAA
rnacentral:rRNA from 1 species